rnacentral:rRNA from 1 species
CUCUAGCAUAAAGUAUUAAAGGUGACGCCUGCCCAGUGAUAUAUUAAACGGCCGCGGGAUCUUACACCGUGCAAAGGUAGCAUAAUCACUUGUCCCCUAAAUAGUGACUAGUAUGAACGGCCAAAUGAAGACUUAACUGUCUCUUAUAGUCAAUCUAUGAAACUAAUCUUUCAGUACAAAAGCUGAAAUUAAAACAUAAGACGAAAAGACCCUGUGGAACUUUAAGCAACACCCAACCAUUAUGGACUUUAAUGCUUUUAGUUGGGGCAACUUUGGAAAAAAACAAAACUUCCAAUACAAGACACAAAUUAACACAUUUAUGUCCACCUACAUGACCCAGUACCACUGACUAAAGAACCAAGCUACCCCAGGGAUAACAGCGCCAUCCCCUCUUAGAGCCCAAAUCGACGAGCGGGGUUUACGACCUCGAUGUUGGAUCAGGGCCCCCAAACAGUGCAACAGCUGUUAACGGUUUGUUUGUUCAACAAUUAAAGCCCUACGUGAUCUGAGUUAAGACCGGAGUAAUCCA